rnacentral:rRNA from 1 species
AACAGGAUUAGAUACCCUGGUAGUCCACGCCGUAAACGUUGGGCGCUAGAUGUAGGGACCUUUCCACGGUUUCUGUGUCGUAGCUAACGCAUUAAGCGCCCCGCCUGGGGAGUACGGCCGCAAGGCUAAAACUCAAAGGAAUUGACGGGGGCCCGCACAAGCGGCGGAGCAUGCGGAUUAAUUCGAUGCAACGCGAAGAACCUUACCAAGGCUUGACAUACACCGGAAACGGCCAGAGAUGGUCGCCCCCUUGUGGUCGGUGUACAGGUGGUGCAUGGUUGUCGUCAGCUCGUGUCGUGAGAUGUUGGGUUAAGUCCCGCAACGAGCGCAACCCUCGUUCUAUGUUGCCAGCGCGUUAUGGCGGGGACUCAUAGGAGACUGCCGGGGUCAACUCGGAGGAAGGUGGGGAUGACGUCAAAUCAUCAUGCCCCUUAUGUCUUGGGCUUCACGCAUGCUACAAUGGCCGGUACAAAGGGCUGCGAUACCGUAAGGUGGAGCGAAUCCCAAAAAGCCGGUCUCAGUUCGGAUUGAGGUCUGCAACUCGACCUCAUGAAGUCGGAGUCGCUAGUAAUCGCAGAUCAGCAACGCUGCGGUGAAUACGUUCCCGGGCCUUGUACACACCGCCCGUCAAGUCAUGAAAGUCGGUAACACCCGAAGCCGGUGGCCUAACCCUUGUGGAAGGAGCCGUCGAAGGUGGGAUCGGUGAUUAGGACUAAGUCGUAACAAGGUAACC